rnacentral:misc_RNA from 1 species
GAUGAAGAACGCAGCGAAAUGCGAUAAGUAAUGUGAAUUGCAGAAUUCAGUGAAUCAUCGAAUCUUUGAACGCACAUUGCGCCCGCCAGUAUUCUGGCGGGCAUGCCUGUUCGAGCGUCAUUUCAACCAUCAAGCCCCCGGGCUUGGUGUUGGGGAUCGGCGAGCCUCCGCGCCCGCCGUCCCCUAAAUCUAGUGGCGGUCUCGCUGUAGCUUCCUCUGCGUAGUAGCACACCUCGCACUGGGAAACAGCGCGGCCACGCCGUUAAACCCCCAACUUCUGAACGUUUGACCUCGGAUCAGGUAGGAAUACCCGCUGAACUUAAGCAUAUCAAUAAGCGGAGGA